rnacentral:rRNA from 1 species
AACGAACGCUGGCGGCAGGCCUAACACAUGCAAGUCGAGCGAGGACUUCGGUUCUAGCGGCGGACGGGUGAGUAACGCGUGGGAAUGUGCCCUUCUCUACGGAAUAGCCCUGGGAAACUGGGAGUAAUACCGUAUACGCCCUAUUGGGGAAAGAUUUAUCGGAGAAGGAUCAGCCCGCGUUGGAUUAGGUAGUUGGUGGGGUAAUGGCCUACCAAGCCGACGAUCCAUAGCUGGUUUGAGAGGAUGGUCAGCCACACUGGGACUGAGACACGGCCCAGACUCCUACGGGAGGCAGCAGUGGGGAAUCUUAGACAAUGGGGGCAACCCUGAUCUAGCCAUGCCGCGUGAGAGAUGAAGGCCUUAGGGUUGUAAAGCUCUUUCAGCUGGGAAGAUAAUGACGGUACCAGCAGAAGAAGCCCCGGCUAACUCCGUG